rnacentral:lncRNA from 1 species
AUGCUAUUUGUUCAGGUGGAUGAGCUCUGUGUAUGUCAGGACCAGGUCAGCGAGACAAUCAAAGCAGCUGUCCAUCAGGUGGAUCUUGCGCUGCAGGUGCUGCAGUCGCAGGUGGGUUUUGGUGACUCGUGUGACACUCUCAGCAAUGCUACAGUACAUUCAUUUAGACGAUCGUUAAGGUUGCUCUUAAUGUGUUUGCAGUUGAAGCGGACCAUUGUCAAUGUUGCACUGUGGUAUGGAGAGUAUGAUACUGGAUUUCGUUAUCAGAACAGGUGACUUUCUCAACCAAUUGCACAACUCCUCAAUCAGUCGGUGCACUCAUUCCCCGAGUUUGAAAUUCUUCAGUGAUUUCAAGCUAUAGUUUCUGGUAGGCAUUUGACUGCUUCUAUGUCUAUUGACAGGAUGUGUCAAUGUAUGGAGGAAAAACAUGAAGGGGAGCUCAGACUACUGAAGGCCAUCCUCACUCAAGUCCUCCAGGUUCAAUGUCUUACAUCUACGUCAUCUCCCCUAUAUCCCCAACAUCUACAGUGGGGAGAACAAGUAUUUGAUACACUUGCCGAUUUUGCAGGCUUUCCUACUUACAAAGCAUGUAGAGAUCUGUCAUUUUUUAUCAUAGGUGCACUUCAACUGUGACAGACGGAAUCUAAAACAAAAAUCCAGAAAUCACAUUGUAUGAUUUUUAAGUAAUUAAUUUGCAUUUUAUUGCAUGACAUAAGUAUUUGAUCACCUACCAACCAGUAAGAAUUCCGGCUCUCACAGACCUGUUAGUUUUUCUUUAAGAAGCCCUCCUGUUCUCCACUCAUUACCUGUUUGAACUGCACCUGUUUGAACUCGUUACCAGUAUAAAAGACACCCGUCCACACACUCAAUUAAACAGACUCCAACCUCUCCACAAUGGCCAAGACCAGAGAGCUGUGUAAAGACAUCAGGGAUAAAAUUGUAGACCUGCACAAGGCUGGGAUGGGCUACAGGACAAUAGGCAAGCAGCUUGGUGAGAAGGCAACAACUGUUGGCGCAUUUAUUUGAAAAUGGAAGAAGUUCAAGAUGACGGUCAAUCGACCUCGGUCUGGGGCUCCAUGCAAGAUCUCACCUCGUGGGGCAUCAAUGAUCAUGAGGAAGGUGAGGGAUCAGCCCAGAACUCCACGACAGGACCUGGUCAAUGACCUGAAGAGAGCUGGGACCACAGUCUCAAAGAAAACCAUUAGUAACAUACUACGCCGUCACGGAUUAAAAUCCUGCAGCGCAUGCAAGGUCCCCCCUGCUCAAGCCAGCGCAUGUCCAGGCCCGUCUGAAGUUUGCCAAUGACUAUCUGUAUGAUCCAGAGGAGGAAUGGGAGAAGGUCAUUUGAUCUGAUGAGACAAAAAAAGAGCUUUUUGGUCUAAACUCCACUCGCUGUGUUUGGAGGAAGAAGAAGGAUGAGUACAACCCCAAGAACACCAUCCCAACCGUGAAGCAUGGAGGUGGAAACAUCAUUCUUUGGGGAUGCUUUUCUGCAAAGGGGACAGGACGACUACACCGUAUUGAGGGGAGGAUGGAUGGGGCCAUGUAUCGUGAGAUCUUGGCCAACAACCUCCUUCCCUCAGUAAGAGCAUUGAAGAUGGGUCGUGGCUGGGUCUUCCAGCAUGACAACGACUAGAAACACACAGCCAGGGCAACUAAGGAUUGGCUCCGUAAGAAGCAUCUCAAGGUCCUGGAGUGGCCUAGCCAGUCUCCAGUCCUGAACCCAAUAGAAAAUCUUUGGAGGGAGCUGAAAGUACGUAUUGCCCAGCGACAGCCCCGAAACCUGAAGGAUCUGGAGAAGGUCUGUAUGGAGGAGUGGGCCAAAAUCCCUGCUGCAGUGUGUGCAAACCUGGUCAAGAACUACAGGAAACGUAUGAUGUCUGUAAUUGCAAACAAAGGUUUCUGUACCAAAUAUUAAGUUCUGCUUUUCUGAUGUAUCAAAUACAUAUGUCAUGCAAUAAAAUGCAAAUGAAUUACUUAAAAAUCAUACAAUGUGAUUUUCUGGAUUUUUGUUUUAAAUUCCGUCUGUCACAGUUGAAGUGUACCCAUGAUAAAAAUUACAGACCUCUACAUGCUUUUUAAGUAGGAAAACCUGCAAAAUCGGUAGUGUAUCAAAUACUUGUUCUCCCCACUGUAUGUGCUGUUUACAUUUUUUCCACUAUACAAAUAAGAUCAAAUGAGAUUAGAUUGCAUGUUAUUGUCUGUUUUCACCCCCAAAAAUAUUUUGCAUCAUAAAAAAACCCUACGGGGCAUAAAAUACGGUAAACAACAUACAGUAGGUCUAUAGGAGCUAUGGACGGAAGGGGCUGUAGUACAGGGGACUUUACAAGUUAAAAUGAAAGUGGCACACUCGUCUCUCCUUGCUGGGGAUUUAGUAGACCAAUAUUUCAGUUAAAAGGGUGUUUUAUAUAUAGUUUUUUUUAUUUUUACAAACUACUAUUCAUGGUGGUCAAUAGGAGUCCCUUGAUCGACACCUGAUGGAGAAGCAGUGGUACAGCAACAGAGAUGACUUCACCGUCCUACUGCAGGAUGCUCCCUUCAUCACAUCAGAACCCGCCUCUUUUAUUGUGAGUGACAAGCCAUUAAACCCUCCCUACAAUUUUUAUACAUUAAUGUGCCUAUCCUAUUGUGUGAUGCAGAGUUGAGUUGUUAUGGUGUGUGCGUACGCUUGCAUACUGGUACGUGCGUACGCUAGCAUUUCUGAUGCAUACGUGUGUCAGUGUGUGUAACAC